rnacentral:rRNA from 1 species
UACGUAGGGUGCAAGCGUUGUCCGGAAUUAUUGGGCGUAAAGAGCUCGUAGGCGGUCAGUCGCGUCUGCUGUGAAAACUCGGGGCUUAACUCCGGGCCUGCAGUGGGUACGGGCUGACUAGAGUGCGGUAGGGGGAGACUGGAAUUCCUGGUGUAGCGGUGAAAUGCGCAGAUAUCAGGAGGAACACCGGUGGCGAAGGCGGGGUCUCGUGGGCCGUAACUGACGCUGAGGAAGCGAAAGGCGUGGGGAGCGAACAGG